rnacentral:rRNA from 1 species
UACGGAAGGGGCUAGCGUUGUUCGGAAUUACUGGGCGUAAAGAGCGCGUAGGCGGCUUACCAAGUUGGGGGUGAAAUCCCGGAGCUCAACUCCGGAACUGCCUUCAAAACUGGUAGGCUUGAGUCCGGAAGAGGGGGGUGGAAUUCCCAGUGUAGAGGUGAAAUUCGUAGAUAUUGGGAAGAACACCGGUGGCGAAGGCAGCGCCCUGGUCCGGUACUGACGCUGAGGCGCGAAAGCGUGGGGAGCAAACAGG